UCAUAAAUGCUCCCAGUUUAUUCGACUUUGCUCCCUUAUCUAAAAUUAUCGCGGGAGCGUUCGUCCAAAGAAAUUGACACGCCAUAUGUCCGUGCAAUUCUCGGUUUCUUCUGUGUUCCUCUUUUUCUCCCGGCAGCAAAUUGUUUUUCUGCUCUGUCCUAAAACCCGCGAAAAAAGGUCCGAGGAAAAAAGUUAUCACAGAUUGUUCUGAGAAAUGGGUUCGGUGUUAUUCUCAAAUCCAACCCUGAUAAUGGCAGAGCUAAAGUAUGUAGGCCAUUAUAAAAUAGGAAACUCGGGCAGCCUGAAUCUUUAUUUUAAACCCAAAUUCCAUCACAAACAUGAGCUCCGACUUUCCAGAUUUCCAAGUCUUCUUUCUCCUUCAAACACCCAGUACAAUAUAGAAGGCGACCCAGAAGAAGAUUCUGUUCAACACCUUAGGGUCCCAAGCAGUUGGUUAGACCCUUCGCAAGCCUUGGAGGAAUCAGAAUGGCUAAGGGUGACUCUUCAUAAGUGGUUGGAUGAUGAAUACUGUCCCGAGGAAACGAACAUCAAAAUUAGUGAGGUUGCUAGCCACUCAUUUUACAAGUCGUUGAUGGAGAAAAAAACUGACCUGGGCGAAAUAUUGUUGGAAAUGGUUCAGGAAUUGGGUUCUAUAUCCUAUCAGGAGAGCUUUCAUGGAGCAUUUUCAUCAGCAAAUGCAGCUGUUGAUCUCAUAAUUCAACGGAUACAGCAGGAUUAGAUUCCUGGCUAGAAAGAAGCACAUCUCUAACAUCAUUGGUUGUUGCAGCAUAUUGAAAGGAUUCCUGACAAUGAUCCAUCAGGCUAAGAUUAUGACACACAUGCCGGGUCUGUAUAUUAGCGACCUAGAUGCAUAUUUCUUCCUUCUAUUAUGAAAUUAAAUUUCAGUUCCUACUUCCUGUAUAUUUAACAUGCAUUCGUGUCCGUUCGGUGACACUGUAAUAAAGAUUGAUCCAUCCUGCAUCCAUAUCUUGAACAUAUAAGGUCAAACUGAUGACAUGCUUAUUGCUUAGUUUGUAAUUACCUGGGUCUUAGUUAAGAA